rnacentral:rRNA from 1 species
UCAAUACGAAGCCUUUGGUUUUGUAAUUGAAUUGAGAACAAUGUACAAUCGUUAUCGAUAAACAAUUGGAGGGCAAGUCUGGUGCCAGCAGCCGCGGUAAUUCCAGCUCCAAUAGCGUAUAUUAACGUUGUUGCAGUUAAAAAGCUCGUAGUUGAAGUUUAGAUAAUUUAUUGAAAGUGUUUGUAUUCGUACAUUCUACUUUUAUGUAAGUUAUCGACAUCCAGGUGGGUGCCAUGGUUCCGCAAGGAAUUGUGGUACUAGACUGGUCAUUUACUGUGAGAAAAUUAGAGUGUUUAAAGCGGACUGUUCAGUUUGAAUAGAUUAGCAUGGAAUAAUAAGAUUGGCUUUCAUAGUCGAUUUUUUGGUUUGUUUAUGAAAGCAAGAUUAAUAGGGACAGUUGGGGGUAUUCAUAUUCAAUAGCUAGAGGUGAAAUUCUAUGAUUUAUGGAA